rnacentral:rRNA from 1 species
CAGUAGCCACGGUAAUGCAAAGGGGGCUAGCGUUGUUCGGAUUUACUGGGCGUAAAGGGUGCGUAGGCGGAUUGUUAAGUCAUGGGUGAAAUGCCGGGGCUCAACCUCGGAACUGCCUUUGAUACUGGCGAUCUUGAGUCCGGGAGAGGUGAGUGGAACUGCGAGUGUAGAGGUGAAAUUCGUAGAUAUUCGCAAGAACACCAGUGGCGAAGGCGGCUCACUGGCCCGGAACUGACGCUGAGGCACGACAGCGUGGGAAGCAAACAGGAUUAGAUACCCCGUAGUCCCUGUCUCUUAUACA